UCUUCAGUGAUGUGGCAAAGUCCUAUGCGAGAAGCCAGCACCCUUCAUCAGGGAGCUACACACACCCUUGACCCAGGAGUCUGAGACACUAAAGGAGGCUCCAGCGAGAGAGAGCUGUAAGAGUUGUGGGGCCAGCCACAGCCUGGUGCCAGCCAGGUGAGCCCACAGAUUUCCAGAUAAUGUUGAGACCUCGAGGCCAGGCACCACACUCUGAGACACACUGUGAGAUUUAUUGCAUAUCUUGGUUUGAGGUUCAUAAGAAGUAGAUGCUGAUCCAAGGACUCAAGUUUCCAGAUAACCGAGUCUCAGUAUAAGAGGGACAACCCCAUGACAUUGGUGACAAGGACAGCUGUUGGCUGAGAGCCUCUCAUGUGAAAGCUUCACAUCCAAUCAUCAGGUGGCAUGAAAACAAUGAAAGGGAUGCCCGUGCUCUGAGAAUCCACUUCUGCUAAGGUUCACCUGAGCCAACCCCACAGCACCGCGUGCUCAGACCUCAUUCCGUCUUUUCUUGCUCUGGGUCUGCUUCCAGGACUAACAUGUCCAUCGCCAAACCAGAGCACUGCAGUUCAUCUCUUCCCUCUUGACUCAGUGCUUUUGAACUGGUCAUACAUGAACUGACCUCUGGCUUCACCUCAAGAUUUUGAUUUUUGGACCUGGGUCCACAGAUAACCCAAGAUAGACAACGCCGGGGGCCCAGCCCCUUCAUGUUCCCAAGGGAUGUGAGUGCGGUGACUGUCCCUUCUCUCAGCCCCAGGAUUGGACAACUGAUGUUGGAUUAG